GACGAACGCUGGCGGCGUGCUUAACACAUGCAAGUCGAACGGAAAGGCCCUGCUUUUGUGGGGUGCUCGAGUGGCGAACGGGUGAGUAACACGUGAGUAACCUGCCCUUGACUUUGGGAUAACUUCAGGAAACUGGGGCUAAUACCGGAUAGGAGCUCCUGCUGCAUGGUGGGGGUUGGAAAGUUUCGGCGGUUGGGGAUGGACUCGCGGCUUAUCAGCUUGUUGGUGGGGUAGUGGCUUACCAAGGCUUUGACGGGUAGCCGGCCUGAGAGGGUGACCGGAAAAGUGGGGAGGAAAAGACGGCGGAACACCGGAGGGGGGAAGAGGGGGGGGAAUAGUAAAAAGGGGGGGAAGGCGGAAGGAGGAAACGCGGGGGAGGGGAGGAGGGCGUAGGGGUUGAACACCGUUUCGGCGGGGAAGGAAGGGGGGGGGAGGGAAGGGGGAAAGAAAGACCGGAAAAAUAACGG
rnacentral:rRNA from 1 species